rnacentral:sRNA from 1 species
AAACCUCCUUUCAAGUUUAUUUAGGUCCCCAGAACACUUUAACCUGCAACUGAGGUUCCGAGUGCUAGGAUGGGCGAUUCCCCGCUUUCUAAGGCUUCAGCGAUUAGCCAAAGAUCUUCUAAAACAACUACAAGUUCAAGACAGUGGCUCAUGGGCAAACAAUAAAGUGUGUGCUUUGGAUCGGACCCUAGGAGAGAUCACUAGAAUACUGGAAAAAGAGAAUGUGGCAGAUCAGAUUGCAUUUCAAGCUGCUGGUGGAUUAACAGCCCUUGAACACAUCCUUCAAGCAGUAGUCCCAGCCACAAAUGUGAACACAGUUUUAAGAAUUCCUCCUAAGUCUCUCUGCAAUGCAAUCAAUGUUUACAACCUCACCUGCAAUAACUGUUCAGAAAACUGCACUGAUGUUCUGUUUAGUAACAAGAUUACCUUCUUAAUGGACCUCCUGAUACACCAGUUGACGGUUUAUGUUCCAGAUGAAAAUAAUACUAUUUUGGGAAGAAAUACAAAUAAACAAGUUUUUGAAGGCUUGACAACUGGACUUCUUAAAGUCAGUGCUGUGGUUUUGGGCUGCCUGAUUGCCAAUCGACCAG